GCGCUAGCCGCUGCCGCUACCGCUGCCGCCGCCGCCACGGUUCUUUACCUACUGUGGCCCGGGUGGCUGCCAGCGCUGCUGCUCGCUGCCCGCCGCCCUGGCAUCCCAAGCCGCCUCCCAUCGCGCUGGCCCGGCGCGCAGGUGUUCAUGAAAAAAUGCACAAAAUCCUGACUGACCGGAAUAAUUCAUGAAGAAGGGGCUGGAUCCGUGGGUCAGAGAACACAGGACCAGUUUGCCAUCCCAAGGCCCAAGUCUGGUGUCUCGGAUUUGGCCCUGCGUUGCCUACUCCUGCUGGAUCUUGUCCAGUCGAAGGACAAAACGCCCUGACAUCUUCCUGAAGAAUGGGAAGAAAGGAGAUUCUGAAAGCACAGAGUGUAAUACCGAGGAAACCAACAGCUGAAGGAUUGCCCCACCCCAGCAGGAGCCCAGGGACGGCUGAAACUGGAGGCGUGCAGGCCCAAGCAUGGAGGAGAUACCAGCAAUGACCAAGAGUCACCCCCAGCGGCUCCUGAGCUGUCUGUCCAGGACGCACUGAAUUGAGCACACCCAGCAGGACUUUCUCACCUUGCAGCUGCGAUCGCUGGAACAAAGACCAGAGAAGCCGAAGCAGCAGCCCUAGUCCAGAUGCUUUUUAGAGUUACCCUGAGAAAAUUGUCUGUGGAGUUAUGACCAGUUUUACCAAUGGAUAUUGUGAGAAGAGACCUUCCCUUCUGCAUGGGAUUCUAUCAACCCUGGAGGCCAUUCCCCAUGGACUUUGAAGAUCUUAUAUCCACCUUUCAGCAGGCUCUUCUUGCUUCA